rnacentral:lncRNA from 1 species
UGGGAACAGCGAGGUGAGGGCUCUCCAAGCCCUCCACCUGCAGAAAUUGGGGCGCAGCGCUGCGGGGAGGGGGAUCCUGGAUCAGCGGUGAUCCUGGAGAGCCGGCACAAAUGUUUUCCAAAUCCUGAGCAGCGUCAGAUCAGCGCACCCCAAAGCCUGCUGCUGGGCUUCAGCUCCUGCUCCUGUUGGAGGUGCGAUGUAAGCAGAACGAAUGCCCCAGUGAGCCCUCUGAGCGUCUCGGGAGCAAAUCACAUUUGUGAAGCUGCAUCUAACUGGGCUGAUGCACGGGGCGCUGCUCGAGGCAGGACUGCCAGAGCUAGAAUGGAAGUGCCGAUAACUGCUGGAUGAACCGCCAGCCAGCCACGCAGAGGGAAAAGAUUGCAAGAGGUAACUUCUGGCUAAUAUCAGCCUCAGCACAGCUCUGCGGGGGCACCAGGCAAAGCCCCCGAGCUUCCUUGGACCCAGCCCCAGCCUGAUGGUUUUUUU